rnacentral:misc_RNA from 1 species
AUCUUACCACUUUUUAAAGUGGAAGUAUAGCCGGCUUGAAGAGUUAAGUUUGUUGACAUGCUCCAUGUUGCAAAUGCUCGUUAGUUUGAAUACUGACGUUGUUUUAAUCGCGUCGAUAGGAUAAGCCUCACUCCUUGAUAGUUAGAGUAAUUCGCAGUUUUAUUAACUACCGAUUUCUGUGUUUUCUUUCAUUUCUUAAGUUAAAUUUUCGACAAAAUCUGCAAACGUGCACGAAUAUACAAGAAAACCUUCAAAACCUAGGUCACUGAAGCGUUUAUUUAGCGAAGGGCUGUGUCAAAAAAAGUUCUAACCGGAAGUAUUUGAUAAAGCAUCACACGUUGAUAAAGCAAAGGUUUAUCACACGGGUAGUAUAAUCCACACUUACAUGUAAGGGAUUAAAACAUGUACUCAGCCCUUGUACAUAUUCAGUUAAUGUAAUUUUACCGAGGUACUGGAUAUGUUUAUCAAAAUAUUCUAACAAUUCUGUUAAUAAUCGCCAUAAAACAAUGUAUAGCACAAGCGUUUUGGAAUAACUAUUGAACUGGGGGUUUUUGAUUGCAUACUUACAGAAUACAUGUAUUCCCUUACUUUUAAAUGAAUCAUAAACACCCUUCUUCUUUCAAAUGUACCUUACGAUACUGUUCAUAAUAACAAUGAAAGUAUAAUUUAACUUACUAGUAUAUAAUACGAAACAAUAGUUGUUGUAAUUCUUUAAGAUCUCAUGUGUAUGUUAAUUUGAGCAAAAAAUAUUUUAUGACAAUAAACCAUGGAUUUAC